CGCGGGGUGGAGCAGAAUGGUAGCUCGUCGGGCUCAUAACCCGAAGGUCGUUGGUUCAAAUCCAGCCCCCGCAACCA
rnacentral:tRNA from 1 species